AUAUAUAGUGUGUAUCCAGUAGCCAUGCCAUACAUAGUGUAUCUAGUAGCCAUGCUAUAUAUAUGGCAUCUAGCAGCCAUGCUAUAUAUAGUGUAUCUAGUAGCCAUGCCAUACAUAGUGUAGAGGCCAUGCUAUAUAUAGUGUAUCUAGUAGCCAUGCUAUAUAUAGUGUAUCUAGUAGCCAUGCUACAUAUAGUGUAUCUAGUAGCCAUGCUAUAUAUAGUGUAUCUAGUAGCCAUGCUAUAUAUAGUGUAGAGGCCAUGCUAUAUAUAGCGUAUCUAGUAGCCAUGCUAUAUAUAGUGUAUCUAGUAGCCAUGCUAUAUAUAGUGUAUCUAGUAGCCAUGCUAUAUAUAGUGUAGAGGCCAUGU
rnacentral:lncRNA from 1 species